rnacentral:rRNA from 1 species
UACAGAGGGUGCAAGCGUUGUUCGGAAUUAUUGGGCGUAAAGCGCGUGUAGGCGGCCUAGCAAGUUGGGUGUGAAAGCCCUCGGCUUAACCGAGGAAGUGCGCCCAAAACUACAAGGCUUGAGUACCGGAGAGGGUGGUGGAAUUCCCGGUGUAGAGGUGAAAUUCGUAGAUAUCGGGAGGAACACCAGUGGCGAAGGCGGCUUUCUGGGCCUUACCUGACGCUGAGACGCGAAAGCGUGGGGAGCGAACCGG